rnacentral:rRNA from 1 species
UACGGAGGGUGCGAGCGUUGUCCGGAAUCAUUGGGCGUAAAGGGCGCGUAGGUGGCCCGGUCAGUCUUUGGUGAAAGCGCCUGGCUUAACCGGGCGAGGUCGGCGGAAACUGUCCGACUCGAGGACGGUAGAGGGGGGUGGAAUUCCCGGUGUAGUGGUGAAAUGCGUAGAGAUCGGGAGGAACACCUGUGGCGAAGGCGGCCCCCUGGGCCGGCCCUGACACUGAGACGCGAAGGCGUGGGGAGCGAACGGG